AUUGAACGCUGGCGGCAGGCCUAACACAUGCAAGUCGAGCGGAUGACGGGAGCUUGCUCCUUGAUUCAGCGGCGGACGGGUGAGUAAUGCCUAGGAAUCUGCCUGGUAGUGGGGGACAACGUUUCGAAAGGAACGCUAAUACCGCAUACGUCCUACGGGAGAAAGCAGGGGACCUUCGGGCCUUGCGCUAUCAGAUGAGCCUAGGUCGGAUUAGCUAGUAGGUGAGGUAAUGGCUCACCUAGGCGACGAUCCGUAACUGGUCUGAGAGGAUGAUCAGUCAAACGGGAACGGAGACACGGUCAAGACUCCUACGGGAGGCAGCAGUGGGGAAUAUUGGACAAUGGGCGAAAGCCUGAUCCAGCCAUGCCGCGUGUGUGAAGAAGGUCUUCGGAUUGUAAAGCACUUUAAGUUGGGAGGAAGGGCAGUAAGUUAAUACCUUGCUGUUUUGACGUUACCGACAGAAUAAGCACCGGCUAACUCUGUGCCAGCCGCCGCCGUAA
rnacentral:rRNA from 1 species